rnacentral:rRNA from 1 species
CCGACGGUGAGUAACACGUAUCCAACCUGCCGUCUACUCUUGGACAGCCUUCUGAAAGGAAGAUUAAUCCAGGAUGGCAUCAUGAGUUCACAUGUCCGCAUGAUUAAAGGUAUUUUCCGGUAGACGAUGGGGAUGCGUUCCAUUAGAUAGUAGGCGGGGUAACGGCCCACCUAGUCUUCGAUGGAUAGGGGUUCUGAGAGGAAGGUCCCCCACAUUGGAACUGAGACACGGUCCAA